rnacentral:rRNA from 1 species
CCAGCACGUAAUGGUGGGCACUCUAAGGAGACUGCCGGUGACAAACCGGAGGAAGGUGGGGAUGACGUCAAGUCAUCAUGGCCCUUACGGCCUGGGCUACACACGUGCUACAAUGGUCGGUACAGAGGGUUGCCAAGCCGCGAGGUGGAGCUAAUCCCAGAAAACCGAUCGUAGUCCGGAUCGCAGUCUGCAACUCGACUGCGUGAAGUCGGAAUCGCUAGUAAUCGCGAAUCAGAAUGUCGCGGUGAAUACGUUCCCGGGCCUUGUACACACCGCCCGUCACACCAUGGGAGUGGGUUGCACCAGAAGUAGCUAGUCU